rnacentral:hammerhead_ribozyme from 1 species
CUCCAGCUGAUGAUUCCCAAAUAGGACGAAACGCGCUUUCUGGAC